rnacentral:rRNA from 1 species
GGUUGCGAUCAUACCAGCACUAAUGCACCGGAUCCCAUCAGAACUCCGCAGCUAAGCGUGCUUGGGCGAGAGUAGUACUAGGAUGGGUGACCUCCAGGGAAGUCCUCGUGUUGCACCUC